UACGAAGGGGGCUAGCGUUGCUCGGAAUCACUGGGCGUAAAGCGCACGUAGGCGGCUUUCUAAGUCAGGGGUGAAAUCCUGGAGCUCAACUCCAGAACUGCCUUUGAUACUGAAGAUCUUGAGUUCGGGAGAGGUGAGUGGAACUGCGAGUGUAGAGGUGAAAUUCGUAGAUAUUCGCAAGAACACCAGUGGCGAAGGCGGCUCACUGGCCCGGUACUGACGCUGAGGUGCGAAAGCGUGGGGAGCAAACAGG
rnacentral:rRNA from 1 species